CGUUUUUAUCUUCAAUUUUAAGAUGCUUUGAGACCCCGGCCUUGGCCUCGGUGAUCUGCGCAGACCGACCUGCCACUCAAGCCGCCUGCGGUACUCUGGGCAGAGCGAUCGCAGAUGUGCAGAGCAGCCGGGUUUCCUUGGAAGCCCCUGCGUCUUUCUCGCCGCCGUUGCUUGACGACCCAGAGGACACAGACAGCGGCGGCACGCGUGUGUGCUGGCGAGGGUCCCACUUCUUGGCUUUGGUCUCUGCAGACGUCCAGCCGGCCCCGGUCACAGCGCAGGGUUUUCCAAUGCAACCGACAGACCCGGGCUCACCUUGAGCUCCUCGGCACGCGGAGGCGACUUUAGCAGCGCUGCAGACCUAGCCUCCUGGAGGGAGCGGAGGGCCGGGACCCGGGGCAGCCAGUCCGGCUCAGUAACAUUGGAGCCCCUCCUCAAAAACCAGCACUCCUCAUUAAUUGAUGAAUAACAGCCAAACCCAAUAAAAUGAUUUUUUUUUUGCUAGUUUCAGUAGCCUGUUAUGAGAAAACAUGUGUUUCCAGUGGAUGUUCAAUAGCCCUGAGACAGCCAUCUGCUGAAGGUAUCAAUGAGUAGAAAAUACUCCCAUGCUGAAUUGGGAUUCCACAUCCACUUCAAAUCUGGAAACUUCCCACGGAAGUCUUUUAGUUCAAGAACAUGCCGCAGGCACACAGUGCCCAACAGGUGGAAAUCGGCUUGAGAGAGCACUUGGCCAGGGUGAGUCCCCUCCAGAAUCAUCUCAGCCUGGGGAAUGCUGGUGGAAGCUAGGAGCUCAAAAAAAAAAAAAAAAGAAAUAAAAGAGAAAUGAAAUGAAUUUAAAGUACAAGGGCUUAGAACUAUCUGGAUGGAAGAAUGCCUUAACAGCAAAUUUAUCCCAGAGGUCAUGUAAUUCACUCAAGAGAACAUGAACUUAAAUACCAGACAGAUUUGUAAUGGAACAUACAAAACAAGAUCCUUCAGGUCCUUUGGAUUGAAAUGGGUAUGUACAGGUGGAGUGCAGAGUACUGGGGAUUGAACUCAGGGGCUCUCAACACUGAAUUACAU